rnacentral:rRNA from 1 species
UACGGAGGGUGCAAGCGUUGUUCGGAAUUAUUGGGCGUAAAGAGCGUGUAGGCGGCCAGGCAUGUCAGAUGUGAAAGCCCUUGGCUCAACCAAGGAAGGGCAUUUGAAACUGCCUGGCUUGAGUACGAGAGGGGGAAGCGGAAUUCCCGGUGUAGAGGUGAAAUUCGUAGAUAUCGGGAGGAACACCGGUGGCGAAGGCGGCUUCCUGGAUCGAUACUGACGCUGAGACGCGAAAGCGUGGGGAG